UUUUUUUUUUUUUUUCAAAUUACUAACUUACUAUGGCCUGUUUAUUCGUCAUGUUUUUAUUUAUUGGUUGGUUACUUGGAUAUUAGGGAGAAGGGUCCGUACUCCUUAUAAAGAUUAACGAAUGGAAUGGUACCUUGAGUAGCUACCAUACCACGGGGAGUGUAUCUAGUGAAUAGUGAUACACAAUACCCCCAAAACUAACAAUGAUAAAAAGAAAAGAAAAGAAAAAAAGAAAAAGAAUCCCCUUAUAAAAAAAGACAAUAAAAUAUGAGAAUUAUGGACUCUAAACAGGAAAUUCUAAAUUAGUAAUGAAUCUUUUGAUUCUAAGUGUGUCUCGUGGGCACACCUUAGAAAGUUCCUACUAUAUUAUCCAAUUUACCAAUAAAUAGGAUCGAAAUUUCACCAAAAUAAACAAAAAUGACUAAGGGACCAUUUGAUUGGACCUUUUGGAACGAGUUGGGAUGGAGUAAAAAUCUAUUUUGUUGUUUAAUUAGGCUUUUAGAUAUAAAAUCUCCAGUUAAGUGCACACUAAGGUACUCAACUUUAAUAAAAGUUGCAAUUAGAGUACCCUAGUUGCAAAAGUUGCAAAAAGGGUACUAAAAACUUACACCGUUAAAGUUCCGUCACUUUUCUUCAUUUGGCCCAAUAUGUAAAACUUCCAAGUUUAAUCAGAAAGGUAUUGAAACAAUAUAUACACUAUAAUGCCGCCUUUUGAUUUUUACUUCCAACUCCCAAAUUAAUCUCUUCCUUGAGUCAAUUUUCUUCAAUUACACCUUUUUCAUUGUUUUUUAUUCCAAUUUUUCACUCUAUUAUCAUGGUUGAAGAGAAUAAUCCAUGGCUUGGACCACACUUGUCUCCCGCCAAAGGUAUGCUACUGUAAUAAAUUUUCAAUUUUUUUACUUCUUUUUGUAAUUUGUGUAAUUUCAUUUGUUUAAUACUUGUUGUUGAUAAAAUAUAGUUAUACACAUAUCCUAGUGGAUAUCAGAGGAUAGCAACUCCUGCAAGACCAAUAACACAGCCUGCAUUCAAUUUAAACCAUCUUAGACCAUCAGCAGUCUACUCAGACUUUGAAGGAGAGCAAAGUGUGUAUUCAUUUAGCCAAGAGUACCACUGGUCACAGACUGAAAUGGGAUCACAACACUCACAAUUCAUCACUACACAAGGCCUACAAGACUUAGCAAUGGCUAAAAGAAAUCAAAACAGGGGAAAGUAAAAGUAAGUUUACUUUCAUGUAGAAAAUUCUUUUUUUUAUUGCAAUAGUUUAAUUUAGAAACAUAUACGGCAAUUAGUACCUUGUAGUACAUAUUUAAUUAGUGUUUAAUUAUUCACAUUGCUUAAUUAUAUUAAAAUGAAAAAAAUUAAAUCAAACUUUUAUGAAUUGAAAAAUGGCAUUUAGUACCUGGGAGCAAAAGUUACAAAAAAUGUGCGGUGGAAGCUUUUGGAAUGGAGCACUAGCAAUCUUGAUCUUCAAGAAGAAAGACCUUUUGAUUUAAAUUUUUUUUUUCUUUUAUUUUUUUUUUAAAUUGGACAAAGCUGCCUUUUUUCUUUUUUGUUUAAAGAAUGCUACCCAGUUGGACCGAGUUGGUGUUGAUUUGACGGUUGGGAAUUAAUAAAAACUUGGUUUUGCAAUUAUGGCAGCU